UGGGGAAUUUUCCGCAAUGGGCGAAAGCCUGACGGAGCAAUACCGCGUGAGGGAGGAAGGCUUUUGGGUUGUAAACCUCUUUUCUUAGGGAAGAAGAACUGACGGUACCUAAGGAAUCAGCAUCGGCUAACUCCGUGCCAGCAGCCGCGGUAAUACGGAGGAUGCAAGCGUUAUCCGGAAUUAUUGGGCGUAAAGCGUCCGCAGGUGGCUUUUCAAGUCUGCUGUCAAAGCCCGCAGCUCAACUGCGGACAGGCAGUGGAAACUGAAUCGCUAGAGUGCGGCAGGGGUAGAGGGAAUUCCCGGUGUAGCGGUGAAAUGCGUAGAUAUCGGGAAGAACACCAGUGGCGAAAGCGCUCUACUGGGCCGCAACUGACGCUCAGGGACGAAAGCUAGGGGAGCGAAAGGGAUUAGAUACCCCCGUAGUCC
rnacentral:rRNA from 1 species